rnacentral:rRNA from 1 species
AGUGAACGCUGGCGGUAGGCCUAACACAUGCAAGUCGAACGGCAGCACAGUAAGAGCUUGCCCUUACGGGUGGCGAGUGGCGGACGGGUGAGGAAUACAUCGGAAUCUACUUUUUCGUGGGGGAUAACGUAGGGAAACUUACGCUAAUACCGCAUACGACCUACGGGUGAAAGCAGGGGAUCUUCGGACCUUGCGCGAUUGAAUGAGCCGAUGUCGGAUUAGCUAGUUGGCGGGGUAAAGGCCCACCAAGGCGACGAUCCGUAGCUGGUCUGAGAGGAUGAUCAGCCACACUGGAACUGAGACACGGUCCAGACUCCUAUGGGAGGCAGCAGUGGGGAAUAUUGGACAAUGGGCGCAAGCCUGAUCCAGCCAUACCGCGUGGGUGAAGAAGGCCUUCGGGUUGUAAAGCCCUUUUGUUGGGAAAGAAAAGCAGCAGGUUAAUACCCCGCUGUUCUGACGGUACCCAAAGAAUAAGCACCGGCUAACUUCGUG